AGCAGCCGCCGCGGUAAUACGAAGGGUGCAAGCGUUACUCGGAAUUACUGGGCGUAAAGCGUGCGUAGGUGGUGGUUUAAGUCCGUUGUGAAAGCCCUGGGCUCAACCUGGGAAUUGCAGUGGAUACUGGGUCACUAGAGUGUGGUAGAGGAUAGUGGAAUUUCCGGUGUAGCAGUGAAAUGCGUAGAGAUCGGAAGGAACAUCUGUGGCGAAGGCGACUAUCUGGGCCAACACUGACACUGAGGCACGAAAGCGUGGGGAGCAAACAGGAUUAGAUACCCCAGUAGUCCCUGUCUCUUAUAC
rnacentral:rRNA from 1 species